GACGAACGCUGGCGGCGUGCUUAACACAUGCAAGUCGAACGGAGAGGCCCUGCUUUUGUGGGGUGCUCGAGUGGCGAACGGGUGAGUAACACGUGAGUAACCUGCCCUUGACUUUGGGAUAACUUCAGGAAACUGGGGCUAAUACCGGAUAGGAGCUCCUGCUGCAUGGUGGGGGUUGGAAAGUUUCGGCGGUUGGGGAUGGACUCGCGGCUUAUCAGCUUGUUGGUGGGGUAGUGGCUUACCAAGGCUUUGACGGGUAGCCGGCCUGAGAGGGUGACCGGCCACAUUGGGACUGAGAUACGGCCCAGACUCCUACGGGAGGCAGCAGUGGGGAAUACUGCACAAUGGGCGGAAGCCUGAUGCAGCAACGCCGCGUGCGGGAUGACGGCCUUCGGGUUGUAAACCGCUUUCGCCUGUGACGAAGCGUGAGUGACGGUAAUGGGUAAAGAAGCACCGGCUAACUACGUG
rnacentral:rRNA from 1 species